rnacentral:rRNA from 1 species
AACGAACGCUGGCGGCGUGCUUAACACAUGCAAGUCGAACGAGAAAGAGUUCCUUUCGGGAACUUGAGUAAAGUGGCGCACGGGUGAGUAACGCGUAGAUAAUCUACCCUUAUAUAUGGAAUAACUGAGCGAAAGCUCAGCUAAUACCGUAUACGCUUUUCUGACUGCGAAGUCGGGAGAGGAAAGAUGGCCUCUGACAUAAGCUAUCGUAUAAGGAUGAGUCUGCGUACCAUUAGCUAGUUGGUGGGGUAAUGGCCUACCAAGGCUACGAUGGUUAGCGGGUCUGAGAGGAUGAUCCGCCACACUGGAACUGGAACACGGACCAGACUCCUACGGGAGGCAGCAGUGAGGAAUUUUGCGCAAUGGGGGAAACCCUGACGCAGCGACGCCGCGUGGGUGAUGAAGGCUUUCGAGUCGUAAAGCCCUGUCAAGUGGGAAGAAACAUCAAUGUGCUAAUACCAUGUUGAUUUGACGGUACCACUAAAGGAAGCACCGGCUAACUCCGUGCCAGCAGCCGCGGUAAUACGGAGGGUGCAAGCGUUGUUCGGAAUUACUGGGCGUAAAGGGCGCGUAGGCGGCGCUGUAAGUCAGAUGUGAAAGUCCACGGCUUAACCGUGGAAGUGCAUCUGAUACUGCAGUGCUUGAGUAUCGGAGGGGAAAGUAGAAUUCCCGGUGUAGAGGUGAAAUUCGUAGAUAUCGGGAGGAAUACCGGUGGCGAAAGCGACUUUCUGGACGAAUACUGACGCUGAUGCGCGAAAGCGUGGGGAGCAAACAGGA